UCCCUGGUGGUCUGGUGACUAAGACUCUGUGCUUCCAAUGCAGGGGUCUUGGGUUCAAUCCCCAGUCAAGGAA
rnacentral:tRNA from 1 species